rnacentral:rRNA from 1 species
AUUGAACGCUAGCGGGAUGCCUUACACAUGCAAGUCGAACGGCGUAGCGAACGGGUGAGUAAUAUAUCGGAACGGGCCCAGUAGCGGGGGAUAACUACGCGAAAGCGUAGCUAAUACCGCAUACUAUUGGAGCGGCAGGUAUCGGAUUAGCAAGUGGGUGGGGUAACGGCUCACCAAGGCGACGAUCCGUAGCCGGUGUGAGAGGACGACCAGCCACACUGGGACUGAGACACGGCCCAGACUCCUACGGGAGGCAGCAGUGGGGAAUUUUGGACAAUGGGGGAAACCCUGAUGCAGCCAUCCCGCGUGUGCGAUGAAGGCCUUCGGGUUGUAAAGCACUUUUGGCAGGAAAGCGGUACCUGCAGAAUAAGCACCGGCUAACUACGUGCCAGCAGCCGCGGUAAUAC